UAAUUUCACCUCCUCCCAGACCUCGCAUGCCAGGAAUGAUGCUGAACUCUUCCUACACUGCCUCUGAUGCAUUUUUGAAUGGUAGCAAAUCUGAUCUCAAAGGAGAGAAUUGACCCUGGCCUGAUGAAGAAAAUGGGAAUCAGUCCUUUGGAAGGAUCAGGAAGCAGCUGAUUGGGCAGGGUAGCACUUUCUGCAUUGAAGUCCCCAUUUUCCUUGGGACAUGGCGGGGCCAGCAAGGGGUUAGAGGAUGAUUCCCAGGUGUGUGGCUCUCCAGAGCAGCGAGAGGCAUCAGAGUGGCCUCCUCCUUCUUAUUUGUGACAGACAGGGAGCCACACUUCGGAGGGCAUCGACUGCUUCUCCCCAUCAGCCAGCUGCGAAGAGGAGUCGCUCCGGGAACAGCGCCGCCCUCCCCUCGUUUGCUUUUCUUCCUCUAUUAUUCCUGACAUGUUCACUGAACUACAGACUGCAUAUGUUUAAAAAUAAUUAAACGCGCUCCAAACAAAUAGGCAAUGUUUCCACGAUCCCUGCAAUGAACGUUCUGCGUGUUUUGACAGAUUUUUCUGUUCGUUGGAUUCAUCAAGCAGCCUGGCUCUUUGCUGUCAUUCCCGACAACCUUGCAGAUAAACCCCCAGGGCAAACUCUCUGGCCUGAGCUCCUUCCUGGGCCCUGAUCUUGGGCACAGAGAACUUCCAGCCUGAGAGUCCCCAGACCUUCAGGGGAAUCCAUGUCUGGGCUCCCAGGACAAAGUGGUUCACAAAUGGAGUCAUUAGACAAAAGGGAGACUGGCUAAAUAAAUGUGGGGUUCUGUUUUGAAUGGCACUGCUAUAUUGCACUAAGAAAAGAGACUAGAAGGAAAUCCUAUGAGAAAACUGAAAGAUUACCGAGGCGCAUUAGGACCGUUCUCACCCCUCCCCGUUGGCAAAUCCUGACCUUCCACAUCCCUGCAUGUCAACCCCCUUCUUUUUAAAAAAUUAAAAUCUC